rnacentral:rRNA from 1 species
UACGUAGGGUGCGAGCGUUAAUCGGAAUUACUGGGCGUAAAGCGUGCGCAGGCGGUCUGUUAAGACCGAUGUGAAAUCCCCGGGCUUAACCUGGGAACUGCAUUGGUGACUGGCAGGCUUUGAGUGUGGCAGAGGGAGGUAGGAAUUCCACGUGUAGCAGUGAAAUGCGUAGAGAUGUGGAGGAAUACCGAUGGCGAAGGCGCCUCCCUGGGCCAACACUGACGCUCAUGCACGAAAGCGUGGGGAGCAAACAGG